rnacentral:rRNA from 1 species
AUUAGAUACCCUGGUAGUCCAUGCUGUAAACGAUGAGUACUAGCUGUUGGAGUCGGUGUAAAGGCUCUAGUGGCGCAGCUAACGCGAUAAGUACUCCGCCUGGGGACUACGGCCGCAAGGCUAAAACUCAAAGGAAUUGACGGGGAUCCGCACAAGCGGUGGAGCAUGUGGUUUAAUUCGAUGCAACGCGAAGAACCUUACCUGGUCUUGACAUCCUGCGAGCUUUCUAGAAAUAGAUUGGUGCCUUAGGGAACGCAGUGACAGGUGCUGCACGGCUGUCGUCAGCUCGUGUUGUGAAAUGUUGGGUUAAGUCCCGCAACGAGCGCAACCCCUAUUGAUAGUUACCAUCAUUAAGUUGGGUACUCUAUUGAGACUGCCGCUGACAAGGCGGAGGAAGGUGGGGACGACGUCAAGUCAUCAUGGCCCUUACGACCAGGGCUACACACGUGCUACAAUGGGUAUUACAGAGGGCUGCAAAGGAGCGAUCUGGAGCGAAACUCAAAAAGGUACUCUUAGUCCGGAUUGCAGUCUGCAACUCGACUGCAUGAAGUCGGAAUCGCUAGUAAUCGCAGGUCAGAAUACUGCGGUGAAUACGUUCCCGGGUCUUGUACACACCGCCCGUCACACCAUGGGAGUGGGUUGCUCCAGAAGUAGAUAGCUUAACGAAUGGGCGUUUACCACGGAGUGAUUCAU